GGACCCGACUGCUAUCAGAGUGGGACUAAGCCAUGCGAGUCAACAUAGCAAUAUGUGGCAUACGGCUCAGUAACACGUAGUCAACAUGCUCAGGGGACGUGGAUAACCUCGGGAAACUGAGGAUAAACCGCGAUAGGUCAUCACUUCUGGAAUGGGUAAUGACUUAAAUCUAUAUGGCCCCUGGAUUGGACUGCGGCCGAUCAGGCUGUUGGUGAGKWAAUGGCCCACCAAACCUGUAACCGGUACGGGCUCUGAGAGGAGGAGCCCGGAGAUGGGCACUGAGACAAGGGCCCAGGCCCUAUGGGGCGCAGCAGGCGCGAAACCUCUGCAAUAGACGAAAGCUUGACGGGGUUACUCUGAGUGAUUUCCGUUAAGGAGAUCUUUUGGCACCUCUAAAAAUGGUGCAGAAUAAGGGGUGGGCAAGUCUGGUGUCAGCCGCCGCGGUAAUACCAGCACCCCGGGUGGUCGGGACGUUUAUUGGGCCUAAAGCAUCCGUAGCCGGUUCUACAAGUCUUCCGUUAAAUCCACCUGCUUAACAGAUGGGCUGCGGAAGAUACUAUAGAGCUAGGAGGCGGGAGAGGCAAGCGGUACUCGAUGGGUAGGGGUAAAAUCCGUUGAUCCAUUGAAGACCACCAGUGGCGAAGGCGGCUUGCCAGAACGCGCUCGACGGUGAGGGAUGAAAGCUGGGGGAGCAAACCGGAUUAGAUACCCGGGUAGUCCCAGCUGUAAACGAUGCAGACUCGGUGAUGAGUUGGCUUAUUGCUAACUCAGUGCCGCAGGGAAGCCCGUUAAGUUUGCCGCCUGGGGAGUACGGUCGCAAGACUGAAACUUAAAGGAAUUGGCGGGGGAGCACCACAAGGGGUGAAGCCUGCGGUUCAAUUGGAGUCAACGCCGGAAAUCUUACCGGGGGCGACAGCAGAGUGAAGGUCAAGCUGAAGACUUUACCAGACAAGCUGAGAGGAGGUGCAUGGCCGUCGCCAGCUCGUGCCGUGAGGUGUCCUGUUAAGUCAGGUAACGAGCGAGACCCC
rnacentral:rRNA from 1 species